rnacentral:rRNA from 1 species
GACGAACGCUGGCGGCGUGCUUAACACAUGCAAGUCGAACGGUGAUGCUCCAGCUUGCUGGAGUGGAUCAGUGGCGAACGGGUGAGUAACACGUGAGCAACCUGCCCCAGACUCUGGAAUAAGCUCUGGAAACUGCGUCUAAUACUGGAUACGAAACUGGCCCGCAUGGGCAUGGUUUGGAAAGUUUUUCGGUUUGGGAUGGGCUCGCGGCCUAUCAGCUUGUUGGUGAGGUAAUGGCUCACCAAGGCGACGACGGGUAGCCGGCCUGAGAGGGCGACCGGCCACACUGGGACUGAGACACGGCCCAGACUCCUACGGGAGGCAGCAGUGGGGAAUAUUGCACAAUGGGCGAAAGCCUGAUGCAGCGACGCCGCGUGAGGGAUGACGGCCUUCGGGUUGUAAACCUCUUUCAGCAGGGAAGAAGCGAAAGUGACGGUACCUGCAGAAGAAGCACCGGCUAACUACGUG